GGCGGCGUGCCUAAUCAUGCAAGUCGAGCGGAUGGAUGUACAAUCCAUGAGCGGCGGACGGGUGAGUAACACGUGGGUAACCUACCUUUUAGACGGGGAUAACGCCUGGAAACGGGUGCUAAUCCCGGAUGGGAUCUUUCUUCGCAUGAAGGAGGAAGGAAAGGCGCAGACAAGCGCUGCUAAGAGAUGGGCCCGCGGCGCAUUAGCUAGUUGGUGGGGUAAAGGCUCACCAAGGCGACGAUGCGUAGCCGACCUGAGAGGGUGACCGGCCACACUGGGACUGAGACACGGCCCAGACUCCUACGGGAGGCAGCAGUAGGGAAUCUUCCAGCAAUGGGCGAAAGCCUGACGGAGCAACGCCGUGUGAGCGAAGACGGUCUUCGGAUUGUAAAGCUCUGUCAUUUGGGACGAGAGGCAUGGAGAGGGAAUGCUCGAUGUGAGACGGUACCAAAGGAGGAAGCCCCGGCUAACUACGUGCCAGCAGCCGCGGUAAU
rnacentral:rRNA from 1 species